rnacentral:rRNA from 1 species
GGCGAACGGGUGAGUAACACGUGAGUAACCUGCCCUUGACUCUGGGAUAAGCCUGGGAAACCGGGUCUAAUACUGGAUAUGACCUUCUGGCGCAUGCCAUGUUGGUGGAAAGCUUUAUUGCGGUUUUGGAUGGACUCGCGGCCUAUCAGCUUGUUGGUGGGGUAAUGGCCUACCAAGGCGACGACGGGUAGCCGGCCUGAGAGGGUGGACGGCCACACUGGGACUGAGACACGGCCCAGACUCCUACGGGAGGCAGCAGUGGGGAAUAUUGCACAAUGGGCGCAAGCCUGAUGCAGCGACGCCGCGUGGGGGAUGAAGGCCUUCGGGUUGUAAACCUCUUUCAGUAGGGAAGAAGCGAAAGUGACGGUACCUGCAGAAGAAGCGCCGGCUAACUACGUGCCAGCAGCCGCGGUAAUACGUAGGGCGCAAGCGUUAUCCGGAAUUAUUGGGCGUAAAGAGCUCGUAGGCGGUUUGUCGCGUCUGCCGUGAAAGUCCGAGGCUCAACCUCCGGCCUGCAGUGGGUACGGGCAGACUAGAGUGCGGUAGGGGAGAUUGGAAUUCCUGGUGUAGCGGUGGAAUGCGCAGAUAUCAGGAGGAACACCAAUGGCGAAGGCAGAUCUCUGGGCCGUAACUGACGCUGAGGAGCGAAAGCAUGGGGAGCGAACAGGAUUAGAUACCCUGGUAGUCCAUGCCGUAAACGUUGGGAACUAGGCGUAGGGUCCAUUCCACGGAUU